rnacentral:rRNA from 1 species
UACGUAGGCAGCGAGCGUUGUUCGGAGUUACUGGGCGUAAAGGGUGUGUAGGCGGUUGUUUAAGUUUGGUGUGAAAUCUCCCGGCUCAACUGGGAGGGUGCGCCGAAUACUGAAUGACUUCGAAUACGGGAGAGGUGAGUGGAAUUCCUGGUGUAGCGGUGAAAUGCGUAGAUAUCAGGAGGAACACCGGUGGUGUAGACGGCUCACUGGACCGUAACUGACGCUGAGACACGAAAGCGUGGGUAGCAAACAGG